rnacentral:lncRNA from 1 species
AGCAAUGGUUCCUCGACGCUCUCAAUCUCGGCUCCUCCGCCGUAUCCAACGGUGGUUCCGGCAAAGGUUUCGAGCGCGUCAGAUCUGAAGUCUCCUCGAUCGUCUCCGAGGUUCCUGAUUACCUCUUCGGGUUGGAUACUUUCGACGAGACCGCGCCGCCGCACGAGCUCCGUGAUCGUGAUCCGAGGGCUAAGAUCCGACGAGAAGUCUCGACGCUUUCGGAUCCUGGCUCGCCUCGUCGCGAUGUUCCUUCGCCGUAUGGUUCGACCUCUUCGGCUCCUGUGAUGCGGUCAUCUACACCGGAACUUCAACCAGUUCUAACUAAACCGGAUAGUCCAGAACCGGUUUCGACUCCAAAAUCUGAUCCUCAACCGGAGCAAGUUAUUCAACAGAGUAAUCUUCCGGUUAACCCACAGUGGCAAUAUUCCCCUGGCCCACAGGUUCAUUACCAGCAACCGGUUUAUUAUGUUCCUAGUUCGGUUCAACCGGGGAAUCAUAUGGUUCAACCCGUUCAAAUGCCGGGUCAGUAUGUUCCACAACACCAUCAUUUGCCUAUGGGAUACCAUCACCAACCUCAGACUCAUCGGAUUCCUGGUCCUGGUCUGGGUCAAGUAUAUGGUGGAACUGCUAGGCCGGUUAUGAUGGCAGUUGAUGGAGUUAACCGGCCGGCUUAUUAUGAUAUGAAAACACCAGGUCCGGUUCAGAUGUAUCACAAUCACCCUGGCAUGGUUGUUCCUGGUAUGGAAGGACAAUACAGAACCGACGACGCUCUCAAUCUCGGCUCCUCCGCCGUAUCCAACGGUGGUUCCGGCAAAGGUUUCGAGCGCGUCAGAUCUGAAGUCUCCUCGAUCGUCUCCGAAGUUCCUGAUUACCUCUUCGGGUUGGAUACUUUCGACGAGACCGCGCCGCCGCACGAGCUCCGUGAUCGUGAUCCGAGGGCUAAGAUCCGACGAGAAGUCUCGACGCUUUCGGAUCCUGGCUCGCCUCGUCGCGAUGUUCCUUCGCCGUAUGGUUCGACCUCUUCGGCUCCUGUGAUGCGGUCAUCUACACCGGAACUUCAACCAGUUCAAACUAAACCGGAUGGUCCAGAACCGGUUUCGACUCCAAAAUCUGAUCCUCAACCGGAGCAAGUUAUUCAACAAAGUAAUCUUCCGGUUAACCCACAG